UUUACAGCAGCUUCAAAGGAUUUAAUUGGUGAUGAUUCUGAUGACGGUCCCCUCGACCCAAGGAGGCCUUCUUGAACUUGUUGACCGAGAAACGAAAGAGCAACCUCCUCAAGAAGCUGAACUGCAUGGAGGAGAAACAUUCUGGGUCUUUGCAUAAGAACAGCCAUGACAUGGGCAGCAGCGAGGAGAGGCUUGGCCGGUGGGCAGCGCCAGAGCAGCAGUUGAGACAGGGAUGAAUGCGGAGGAAACACAAGGGAUUUGAGCAGUUGAAGAUGAGAGAGGACGCAAGACGUGCAAUGACCACAAGCUGCAUCACGACGAUAGGUACAGAUAGAGGACAUGGUCAUGGCAUCAAGAAAGAGAGGACAUCUCAAGAUCCUGGGAGAAGCCAAAAUGGUUAUGGGCAGCAGCGAUACGAUAGUUCUGACGAAGACAGAUGCACUUGAUCCAAACCCGCCAGACAGGAUCGCAAUAGGGAUUCCUACGAACAUCAUCCAUCAAAACAUGUCCGUGAUGAGCACUACCACAGGAGCUCUUGAGAAGAUCAUCACUCCAGUGACAGGGACACGCCAUAAAUAAAAGAUGAGAAAGACAGAAGGGAUGACAGAGGACAGGGGACCUAGCGAAAGACACUCCGACAGGAAGGCCAGAUACACAGGCAGCAAAAAGGAAAGGAGACAACAGACGCAGUUGCGAGAGAGAAAGAGACAUGAUGCCCCCCCCCAAAAAAUGUACAGUGUCAAAAUACUCGGGGGCAAAUGAAUAAGAUGUGGGAUAACACUUCUGUUUCCAGUGACUUGCGAUUGUAUGUUUGUGUUGGAUGAAGAACUUGUUUGGAGGGAAACGUCUGUGCAGUAUGCCUCAACAGCCCCCCCUUUCUUAAACAAGCUGGUAUUUGAAUGCCAGCAUUUUGACAUUGGAGAUGGAGACAUUGGUGAUUUAUACCUGUAAAUGAAGACUUUGACACAUGCACUUUACCACUUUCUGGGAAAUGUCUCAUUUCCUGGAAGUCCUGCUUUUGGGGAUAUCAGUUGUUAUUCUUUUUGCCUUUUAGAGGUGUUUGCCUUCAAGUCAUUUUACAUGUAUUUGGUAGAACUACAGACUUAUACUAUAGUUAAAUGCAAUUUAUCAGUCUAAAGAGUUAUUUGAAGACCAGAAAUGGUGUUACUUUUAAUCUCCUCUUGACAACAGAACCAGCUAUUUGUUAGAACCAAUGUCUAUAUUUUGCAUCGAAACAAUUGAUUCAAAAUCUUUUUUGACAAAACUUGAGUUAAACAGCAAGUGCUAUAUCGUGCAAUUUUGUUUUAAAUUUUGGGUGAAUAUUUUAUCAAAAUUAUAACUGAAGUUUUAAUCUGAAUUUUAUCUUGAAGUACAUUUCUGUGCUCUUUUAGGAGAAGUCCCCUUUUGUCAAAAUUUUAACUUUAUCAAGAGGUGUCAGGAAACAUGAAAUUCAUGAAAGAAAGUCACUAACCCCAUAACCCCCUUACUGAAUCCCCGGCGGCCACCAUCACACAAGGCUAACUCCUUGUCGUUGCAAUUGUUGGUGAAAAUGGUCUAAAUUCCAUCAAAAUUAUCUAGAACGUGAAAUUUAUCUCAAAAUACAUUUCUGAGGUGUUAACGAAAAAAACUGAGUUUUGUAGGAAAUUUUAAAAUGGAAGGCUAUCCCCUUUAUUUUGUUUCAAUUUUUGGUGAAAAUGGUUAUAAUCUAUUUUAUCACCUCAAGAUGAAAUGCAUUAUGCUCGGCAGACACACAGUUUGCUGCCAAGCACUCGGCUGUUUGUUACCGUGGUAGAGUAAACAUGUUGCGAAAAAUGCAAACACCUGACCACCGACGUGUAUGAUUUUUGGUAUCAGGCCAAGGAGGUUCACAGCUAUAGCAGUAACAUGCAAGGGGGGUGCACGCUGAAUUCCCACUGGGCAAGGCCACUUUGGCAUAGCCUUCCGAAGCCGCUGCAUCUCAACAUUAAAUCCCCAUGCAUCGCCAGCUCCCCUUCGCCUCCAUAAACUAGUGAGGAAUACAUUUACAUUAGGUAGUAGGAAUUGGCUGGGAGCGAAGGGCAGGUGCAUCAUUUCAAGUACAGUGAUACACAAGUGAAAUUUUGAUGUAUAUUGAAACUACAUUUAACAUGUUUACCUCUAAUUUGUUGAGUUUAACUUUGGAAAGAUAUGCCAGGCACCCUCGUUCUGGUAGGGCUUAUUCCAACCGUGCAUGCUAGUGGCCGGUGGGGAAAAAAACGGCCCUUUCUUUAAUGCAUUUUAGUAUUUUAGACAUGUGGCAUAGUGAUUAUAUGACAGAAUGGUUGUAUAAUGACAUUACAGGAUUAUAAACAUCAUUGGGCAAGCACCUACUUGUUCUGGUGGUGCUAGUGCUAUUAAAGUUAACUCGGUUUGCAAUGGCCCGAAAGCAUGCCAAGGAUUUGGACCCAUAGCUGCCAAGCUUGGCAAGUAUUUACCAUACCUGCACUGUGUUAUUUGAGUUUGGGCAAGUGUUUCCGCUUUUCGGUAAAACUGCAGAAGUUCUGAUUACAAAUGAAAUAAAAACAGCAGCGAGGAAACGUCAGCCAAGAAGUCAAA
rnacentral:lncRNA from 1 species